rnacentral:lncRNA from 1 species
ACUGGGGGGCACUGGGACAAACUGGGAUGGACUGAGAGGGGAUUGGGGGGGAUUGGGAUGGACUGGGAGGGGCUGGGAGGGGACUGGGAGCGACUUGGGGGGACUGGGAGGGAACUGGGAGGGACUGGGAGGAAACUGGGAUGGACUGGGAGGGACACUGACAAACUGGGAUGGACUGAGAGGGGAUUGGGAUGGACUGGGGGGGACUGGGAGGGAACUGGGAGGGGACUGGGACAAAUUCAGAGGGACUGGGAGGGGAUUGGUGGGGAACUGGGACGAACUGGGAAGGACUGGAGGGCACUGGGAGGGAAAUGGGAGGGAAUUGGGGGGGACUGGGAGGGGACUGGGACAAACUGGGAGUGACUGGGAGGGGAUUGGGGAGGAUUGAGGGGUACUGGGAAGGAAUUUGGGGGUACUGGGAGGGACUGGGAGCACUGGUGGUGUUCAUGCCGGGGGCGGGGCUUGGAGCAGAUGUCACAGAAGGGGCGUGGCUUUGACAUGUGGGCGUGGCCACAUUUGGAGGUGUGGCUUUGCUCUGAGGGCGGGGCCUGGGCGUGGCUCAGGGUUUGGGGGAGGGGCCUGGCGUGUUUUGGGGUGGGGUCUGCAGGAGUGGGCGGGGUCCCGGCCUGGGAGGCGGGGCUAUGGGGGGUCCCGGGGGUUUGGGGUCCCCGCUGACCCCCGGCUCCCCCCAGGUGGUCUCUGGGGGGAGGGGACACGGCGGGGGAGGGGCCGCAGGUGGAGCCAGUCGCCCUCAGCCCCAGGCACCGGGCGUGGGUGGACGCCUGCGCCGGCCUCUUCGGGGGCGUCGACAUCUGCGGGGUGGAGGCGCUGCGGGACCCCGACGGGCAGGAGCACAUCGUGCAGGUGCUGGGCUCGUGGCUGCCGCUGCUGGGCCCGGGCGCGGCCGAGGACCAGGCGCAGAUCGUGGAGCUGGUGCUGGAGCGGAUGAGGGAGGAGCUGCCCCGCCCCCGCAGCCCCUCCCCCGCCCGGCCACGCCCACAGGUGUCGGCGACAUCGGGGACCCCCCGGCCGGGGACCCCCCCUCAGCAGAGACCCCAGCCCCAGGGUGCGCCGCCGAUGUCUGGCCCCGCCCAGCCCCGCCCCCAGCCGCAGGGGCAGCCACGCCCACAAAUGGGUGGAGCUUCACCACGCCCCGCCCAGCCCGGCCCCACCCAACCUCGAGGCCCCGCCCAGCCCCGCCCAGUCGCUGCACAGCCCCGCCCCCAAACCCCAACGGCCACGCCCCAGCCACGCCCAACCUCCCCACAGCCACGCCCACAAACCCCGCCCAGCCCCGCUCAGCCACGCCCACAAACCCCGCCCAGCUCACCCCAGCCCCACCCACAAGCCCCACCCGCUUCACAGCCCCGCCCACCUUUGGCUGCCUCUGCAGCUCAGCCCCGCCCACCCAGCCCUCAGCCCCGCCCACAAGCCCCGCCCACCUCCCCACAGCCCCGCCCACAGACCUCUCCC